AUACGCUGCGAUAAGCUACGGGGAGGUGCGAAUACCCUUUGAUCCGUAGAUUUCCGAAUGGGGAAACCCACCUAAGGUACUUGGAAAAUCAGAGUAGCAGACGCGACAAUCUCUUCGAGAUUGCGCUGGUGCUACUGUGGUUUCCAAGUAUCGAUAAUAGGUAACUUAUCCUGAAUACAUAGGGAUAAAGUGGCGAACGCGGGGAACUGAAACAUCUAAGUACCCGUAGGAAAGGACAUCAACCGAGACUCCGGAAGUAGUGGCGAGCGAACCCGGACCAGGCCAGUGGCGAUUGAGAGACAAGCGGAACCUUCUGGAAAGUAGGGCCAUAGUGGGUGACAGCCCCGUACGCGUAAUGCAAUCAAUCGUCCUCGAGUAAGGCGGGACACGUGAAAUCCUGUCUGAAAUUGGGAGGACCACCUUCCAAGCCUAAGUACUCGUGCAUGACCGAUAGC
rnacentral:rRNA from 1 species